rnacentral:pre_miRNA from 1 species
AGGAGGAACAACCCCAGUGGUGGCUGCAGCUCUGGAAACCUAGAUUCAGCACCCACAGGAACUCCGGAGCUCUCCGUCUGCAGGGCCUGGAGGCUCGGGAUGGGG